AAGUCGUAACAAGGUUUCCGUAGGUGAACCUGCGGAAGGAUCAUUAACAAAAUCUAAUUUUGCCUUUGUGAAUUGGGCAACGGAGAAAUCUGUUGCUUCCCUUUUACUUUUUGUCUAAAUCUAUACAAUAAUUAUAUAAUAAUUUUUAACAAUGGAUCUCUAGGCUCUU
rnacentral:misc_RNA from 1 species